rnacentral:rRNA from 1 species
AUGAUGACAACCUGCUCUCCGAGAUCCUCCUACGCCUCCCCCCGCAGCCGUCCUCCCUCCCCCGCGCUUCCGCCGUCUGCAGGCGCUGGCGUCUCCUCAUCUCCGACCCCGGCUUCUGCCGCCGCUUCCGCCUCCACCACCGCCGCAACCCUCCCCUCCUCGGCGUCCUCCACCACGGUUUGGACUGCGAUCUCUCCUUGGUAUCUACCGUGGAGGCCCCCAAUCGCUUCCCGGCGGGGGGGCUUGUCUCUGAGGCUCGACGACUUCUUUGUGCCCAUCGGAUGUCGCCAUGGCCUUGUGCUCGUGUUUCUCUCGCUCAAUUCUUGGAGAGAGAUCCUGAUGUGGGAUCCCAUCACCGCAGGGCAGCACCGGAUCCUCUUGCCCCCUGGGUUUAUGACGCGCGGGGGGAAGGGCAUGAUCAAUGGGGCCGUGCUUCGGGCCGCCGGAAACGCCGACGACUUCCAGGUGGUCGUGGUGAUGGCAGACAAAGGCAGAUCACACAGGCGAGCUUUCUUGUGUGUUUACUCUUCAAAGACCGGCCUAUGGGGUGAGCUCGUAUCAACACUACUUACAUCUAUGAGUCUGACUGAUGUUGUUUGCACGGGCAUGCCCGCUGUGCUGGCUGGGAAUUCGCUUUACUGGUUGCUUGUUGGAAAGAUUUCUGUAAUUCUCGAGUUUGAUAUGGAGAAACAGAGCCUAGCCUUGAUACAGGUACCAGUGCAUAUGCUUGAACAGCGGUGUCCCCUAAACUGGAUCAUGCGGGCAGAGGGUGGUGGCCUUGGUUUACUCUUCGAGACAGACUGCAGCUUCCAAUUAUGGAAGAGGAACACAGAUUCUAAUGAUGCUUUUUCAUGGGUACUUGGAAGAACUAUCGAACUGGAGAAGCUAACUUUCCUGAAUUCAGAGAAGAAAGACAUGAGCAUACUAGCGCUCGCCGAGGAAAACAAUGUGAUGUUCAUGAGGAAAGGUGGCGUCGUCUUUAUGGUCCAUCUUGACUCAUUGCAGUUCAAGAAACUUCUUGAAGACGACAACGUUACUUAUUAUGAGCCAUUCGAAAGUGUCUACACCACAGGUAAUAGCAUG